UAGUCCACGCCGUAAACGAUGGAUGCAGCCGUUAGGUUAUUUAUAACUUAGUGGCGCAGCUAACGCAUUAAGCAUCCCGCCUGGGGAGUAUGGUCGCAAGGCUAAAACUCAAAGGAAUUGACGGGGGCUCACACAAGCGGUGGAGGAUGUGGCUUAAUUCGAGGCUACGCGAAGAACCUUAUCCUGGUCUUGACAUGUUUAAGAAUCUUCCUGAAAGGGAAGAGUGCCUUCGGGAGCUUUUACACAGGUGCUGCAUGGCUGUCGUCAGCUCGUGUCGUGAGAUGUCGGGUUAAGUCCCUUAACGAGCGAAACCCUUAUCCUUAGUUGCCAGCAUUUAGUUGGGCACUCUAAGGAAACUGCCGGUGAUAAGCCGGAGGAAGGUGGGGAUGACGUCAAGUCCUCAUGGCCCUUACAAGCUGGGCUACACACGUGCUACAAUGGCGAUGACAGUGAGCAGCUAACCCGCGAGGGCAAGCUAAUCUCUAAAAGUCGUCUCAGUUCGGAUUGUU
rnacentral:rRNA from 1 species